rnacentral:rRNA from 1 species
AUUGAACGCUGGCGGCAGGCCUAACACAUGCAAGUCGAGCGAGCGGCGGACGGGUGAGUAAUGUCUGGGAAACUGCCUGAUGGAGGGGGAUAACUACUGGAAACGGUAGCUAAUACCGCAUACCAUCAGAUGUGCCCAGAUGGGAUUAGCUGGUAGGUGGGGUAACGGCUCACCUAGGCGACGAUCCCUACCUGGUCUGAGAGGAUGACCAGCCACACGGGAACUGAGACAAGGCCACAACUCCUAGGGGAGGCAGAGGUGGGGAAUAUUGCACAAUGGGCGCAAGCCUGCUGCAGCAAUGCCGCGUGUGUGAAGAGGGCCUUCGGGUUGUAAAGCACUUUAAGCGGGGAGGCGUUACCCGCAGAAGAAGCACCGGCUAACUCCGUGCCAGCAGCCGCGGUAAUAC